GACGAACGCUGGCGGCGUGCUUAACACAUGCAAGUCCAACGGAAAGGCCCUGCUUUUGUGGGGUGCUCGAGUGGCGAACGGGUGAGUAACACGUGAGUAACCUGCCCUUGACUUUGGGAUAACUUCAGGAAACUGGGGCUAAUACCGGAUAGGAGCUCCUGCUGCAUGGUGGGGGUUGGAAAGUUUCGGCGGUUGGGGAUGGACUCGCGGCUUAUCAGCUUGUUGGUGGGGUAGUGGCUUACCAAGGCUUUGACGGGUAGCCGGCCUGAGAGGGUGACCGGCCACAUUGGGACUGAGAUACGGCCCAGACUCCUACGGGAGGCAGCAGUGGGGAAUAUUGCACAAUGGGCGGAAGCCUGAUGCAGCAACGCCGCGUGCGGGAUGACGGCCUUCGGGUUGUAAACCGCUUUCGCCUGUGACGAAGCGUGAGUGACGGUAAUGGGUAAAGAAGCACCGGCUAACUACG
rnacentral:rRNA from 1 species